AGCGAACGCUGGCGGCAGGCCUAACACAUGCAAGUCGAACGAACCUUUCGGGGUUAGUGGCGGACGGGUGAGUAACACGUGGGAACGUGCCUUUAAGUUCGGAAUAACUCAGGGAAACUUGUGCUAAUACCGAAUGUGCCCUUCGGGGGAAAGAUUUAUCGCCUUUAGAGAGGCCCGCGUCUGAUUAGCUAGUUGGUUGAGGUAAUGGCUCACCAAGGCGACGAUCAGUAGCUGGUCUGAGAGGAUGAUCAGCCACAUUGGGACUGAGACACGGCCCAAACUCCUACGGGAGGCAGCAGUGGGGAAUCUUGCGCAAUGGGCGAAAGCCUGACGCAGCCAUGCCGCGUGAAUGAUGAAGGUCUUAGGAUUGUAAAAUUCUUUCACCGGGGACGAUAAUGACGGUACCCGGAGAAGAAGCCCCGGCUAACUUCGUG
rnacentral:rRNA from 1 species